GCCUUUGCGAGACGUGUCUUUGUAAUUGAACAGGCACAACUUUGUCUUUGACACCUUGCCAGAUGUGAACUGAGCUUUCGUUUUGAGGGUAUGGGUCAGUUAGCUCCAACGGAUUAAAAUCCCAUUUUCCAAAAGCUACAAUAACGUCACUACAGAGGGAGUCAAAUAUACUUCGGUCCUUAAGGCCAUCCUGAGUGAACAACUGAUAUCCCGGUGUAUUCUUCAAGACUUCCAAGUCUCUCUCACAGAAAAAUUGAGGAUUUCCAUCAAGAACAGACGCUGAUGGAAAAACUUUCUGAGUCAACCACCAAUGUAAUAUCCCCCGAGCAUAACAUGUGAUCCAAAUUACCCACCGAGAGAGUUGUUUCCUGUAAUCAUUCUUCACUAGAUCCUUAGGCAGUGUGUGCCAUUUAUAAUUGACAAAGGGAACGACGAG
rnacentral:misc_RNA from 1 species